rnacentral:rRNA from 1 species
UAGGGAAUCUUCCGCAAUGGGCGAAAGCUUGACGGAGCAACGCCGCGUGAGUGAUGAAGGUCUUCGGAUCGUAAAACUCUGUUAUUAGGGAAGAACAAAUGUGUAAGUAACUAUGCACGUCUUGACGGUACCUAAUCAGAAAGCCACGGCUAACUACGUGCCAGCAGCCGCGGUAAUACGUAGGUGGCAAGCGUUAUCCGGAAUUAUUGGGCGUAAAGCGCGCGUAGGCGGUUUUUUAAGUCUGAUGUGAAAGCCCACGGCUCAACCGUGGAGGGUCAUUGGAAACUGGAAAACUUGAGUGCAGAAGAGUAAAGUGGAAUUCCAUGUGUAGCGAUGAAAUGCGCAGAGAUAUGGAGGACCACCAGUGGCGAAAGCGACUUUCUGGUCUGUAACUGACGCUGAUGUGCGAAAGCGUGGGGAUCAAACAGG